GUGGGGAAUCUUGCGCAAUGGGCGAAAGCCUGACGCAGCCAUGCCGCGUGAAUGAUGAAGGUCUUAGGAUUGUAAAAUUCUUUCACCGGGGACGAUAAUGACGGUACCCGGAGAAGAAGCCCCGGCUAACUUCGUGCCAGCAGCCGCGGUAAUACGAAGGGGGCUAGCGUUGCUCGGAAUUACUGGGCGUAAAGGGCGCGUAGGCGGACAGUUUAGUCAGAGGUGAAAGCCCAGGGCUCAACCUUGGAAUUGCCUUUGAUACUGGCUGUCUGGAGUUUGGGAGAGGUGAGGGGAACUCCGAGUGUAGAGGUGAAAUUCGUAGAUAUUCGGAAGAACACCAGUGGCGAAGGCGACUCACUGGCCCAAUACUGACGCUGAGGCGCGAAAGCGUGGGGAGCAAACAGGAUUAGAUACCCCGGUAGUCC
rnacentral:rRNA from 1 species